GGCAGAGAAACAGUUCCUGUAAACCUGAGUCACGUGAUCAACAUCCAGAUGCUUCCACUGGCGCAAACCAUGAAGAAGAAGGAAAUGGUUGGAGUCUCAUGGAUGCAGGACCUAGACAGAGAUUUGCGCACAUUUGUAAAGGAAAUGCAGCUACAUCCAGGUCCUGAGAACCGCUCCUUUCUCUGGACAUGAGACGGCCGUCACACACAGACGCCGUUUGGAAGAAACACCAGCAGAGACACUGGAGUUCCUGCAACAACUCAAGAAGUACAACAACCUGUCACAGGAAGUGCUGGUCAUGUUCUACAUGGCCAUUACUCAGUCUGCCCUGUGCUCAUCUGUGACUGUGUGGUUUGGCUCAUCCACGAAACAGGAAGGGCCGGACGGCAAUGAGCAGUCAUGUCUGGAAAGAGGGAGUUUAUCUGUCCUCCAUCCAGGACUUGAACAAAUCUGGAGUCAGGAAAAAGGGGAACAAACGUCUCUGCAAACCCCACACAUGCUGGACACUAACCGUUUACCUUCAGGUUGGCGAUACACAAAACCCAGCUCCUUUCUGACGAACAAACUGAUACCAUACAUCAAACUUUUGGACCAAAAUCACCAAGUUAAAGGAAAGUUGAAAGAACUAAAAUCAAGCACAUAAAGCAGUGCGAUUAUUUUCUACGCCUUUUUUUUCUUUUUUGUAGAACAGGGAUAAUAUUCAUCGUAGAUCCAAAACUUCAAAAGGAUUUUACACACGCGCCGUAGUAAAAGAAAGGCAUCCGUCUUUCAAAUUGUUCUGGCCUCAGUUGAACAGAUUUAUCUGCAGCUAUAAAAACAGGAUUUCUUCCAAAAUGCUCACAAUAUUUAUCCAAAUUGAAUGAAAAUCAGAUUUUUCGCUCAUCUCUGGAUAAACGUGGUUCUGUUCACUUCGGUCGUAAAAAAGACAAAUACUUUUUGUUGCACUUAAUUUACAUAGUAAGGAAAUUACAUCUGUCAGUUACAAUUAUUAUAAAUUAUGUCGGUAACAGUUUUACUUUGAUUAUACAUUUUUUAAAAAAGGCUCUGUUUGCUUCAACAACCUGUGACG